CCUACGGAGGGCAGCAGUGAGGAAUAUUGGUCAAUGGACGCAAGUCUGAACCAGCCAUGCCGCGUGCAGGAAGACGGCUCUAUGAGUUGUAAACUGCUUUUGUACGAGGGUAAACGCAGAUACGCGUAUCUGUCUGAAAGUAUCGUACGACUAAGGAUCGGCUAACUCCGUGCCAGCAGCCGCGGUAAUACGGAGGAUUCAAGCGUUAUCCGGCUUUAUUGGGUUUAAAGGGUGCGUAGGCGGUCGGAUAAGUUAGAGGUGAAAUCCCGAGGCUCAACGUCGGAAUUGCCUCUGAUACUGUGCGGCUAGAGAGUAGGUGCGGUAGGCGGAAUGUAUGGUGUAGCGGUGAAAUGCUUAGAGAUCAUACAGAACACCGGUUGCGAAGGCAGCUUACCAAGCUACUUCUGACGUUGAGGCACGAAAGCGUAGGGAGCAAACAGGAUUAGAUACCCCAGUAGUC
rnacentral:rRNA from 1 species